rnacentral:rRNA from 1 species
GACGAACGCUGGCGGCGUGCUUAACACAUGCAAGUCGAACGGAAAGGCCCUGCUUUUGUGGGGUGCUCGAGUGGCGAACGGGUGAGUAACACGUGAGUAACCUGCCCUUGACUUUGGGAUAACUUCAGGAAACUGGGGCUAAUACCGGAUAGGAGCUCCUGCUGCAUGGUGGGGGUUGGAAAGUUUCGGCGGUUGGGGAUGGACUCGCGGCUUAUCAGCUUGUUGGUGGGGUAGUGGCUUACCAAGGCUUUGACGGGUAGCCGGCCUGAGAGGGUGACCGGCCACAUUGGGACUGAGAUACGGCCCAGACUCCUAUGGGAGGCAGCAGUGGGGAAUAUUGCACAAUGGGCGGAAGCCUGAUGCAGCAACGCCGCGUGCGGGAUGACGGCCUUCGGGUUGUAAACCGCUUUCACCUGUGACGAAGCGUGAGUGACGGUAAUGGGUAAAGAAGCACCGGCUAACUACGU